GUACUAACCUGUGGUUGAUCCAUCACUUGCUGCAUCACCUAUUCUAUUAUCCAGCUAUUUCUCACGGUUGGAAAUGGAAAAAGAGAAAAAACAACGAAGACUAACUCCCAGCCUUUGAAGUGCGAUAUCUAGUGGUCGUGAAGUGGCGAUCUAAGCCGCAGUUUUCGCCGAAACGGUAGUGUGCAUUCGCGUGAUGAAAAUGGAUAAUGUCUCGCGGCAACCUAUUAUACCCUUUUUUAUCCAUAACCAUGUCUCGCGGCAACCUAUUAUACCCUUUUUAUCCACAACCAACCUAUUAUAAUCUUGUUUGUUUGUUUGUGCCAGUGUAGUCUGCGUGUGUUUGUACCUCACACUCGGUGAUUACCGGUGAAUAUUCACCUCACUUCGUCUCGGCAUGAUCGGUAUUCUAAAAGCGUUAAGAAUCGGAAAGUAUCUGACAACGUUACAAGACAAUAUUACCGAAAUCAGUAGAAAUCAGUAGAGUGUCUUCUCCAGAAGUUGAAACGACAGUCAAAAGCCGGUAGAAACGUUCAUGUUUUAUGACGUCACGGUGAAGGAAUACAGCGUGGAAUUUGUAUGUUUAUUAUACUUAUUUAGUAACUUUAUUUAGUUCGACAAAUUGCCA